CACUGGGCUGUUUAGUCUCAAUCUGCCAGCCCCAGGGGGAACUGGCUGCAAAUGGGUCCACAGGACCCAGAUAAAGCCUCAGGGAGUCCGGUUUAAGAUAGCGGGAUGGUGGCUUCCCGGCUAGAAGGGGGUACCCUGCAGGAGGAAGGUGAAGAAUGUAAUUGCCUAGAGGCGAGGUGAUUCAAUUCCUUCUCCAGCUGGAGAGGAAGAGAGAAGAAUGCUUAGAAAAACUGGUGGAACUGGUUUCUGCAGUAUGGCAGGCGUGAUUUGGGAGGAAGAAGGGGCAGGAGGGGCCUGGUGAUUCCCAGGGGAAGGGAGCCAGCACCCCGCCUUAGAGCCUCAGCCCGGAGCAAGUGACAGAACACAAACUGGACCGCACACCCUAACACGGGCUGGCAACUUGCAGGAGGGCAGCGGGCUGGAAGGAUUGGCGUCCGGCUCAAUGAACCGCGGGACAGAGCAACCAGAGAGCAUGGCCUCCUGCUGAUCCUGGCUCUCCCUGCCCCACCCCCUGGGGGACAGAUGAGAAAGGCGGCACUGCUGAUUCUGCUUUGCUGAGACCCUCGGACGGUGUAUGCGUUUCUCUUGAGUGUGAUCCGACAUCCUGGACCCCAAACACAAGGCUGCGAACUACUCUUGGUCUCAGCUGAAGCGCUGGUGAUCCCUUCCAAUGCCAGAGGAGGACACACCGUGUAAAAGGAGUCACAGCGCUGAGUAGUCACAGAAACUGCCUUGGUCAUCGUAUGUUUCAAGUUAACCUGACUAACCUGACAACUAAGAGGAAAAGAAUCCUAUGGAAGAGAGCUUUCUAGAUCACAGACUGACAGCUUUAGGAGAAGAAAACAAAGAGGACGUGCAAAAGAUAUUUUUUGCAGUUAAAUUUCAGGGAGAAAACUCUCCCAAGACAGGGAUGUCAGAGGCCAAACUGGAGGCCAGAAAUCUGAACACGAAACCAGCAGGUCCUCAUUUGGAGGACUUAAGGGUUCGGUGAUUGAGGGAUACCAAAUGAUGCUUGAAAGAAUUUCUGUCUGCUUAGAGGUUAAAUCAGCUGGUGACACCGUCCAGCCAUUUGGUCAAGCUGCAAAUGUGGCCACCGUCAGGACUGCUCACUCAUCCUCAUCCCCACAUCUGAGGCAUCGGCAAGGCUGUCGUUCCUGCCUCCCAGAUAUGCACACGUCUCAGUUCCGCCUGCCGCUCUCCAGACCCAAAACCACACAAUCUUCUGAGCCACCCUCAUGUCCCGCCUUUAUUCUCCCACUGACCUCCUUACCUGUCUUAUUUUCACUGCCGCCCCUGCUUCAUACAUUCUCCAUGGAACAGCCAGAGUAAACUCAAGAAAGAAAAUCCUGGAAGUUAAAAUGGCUCUUGAAUGAUGGUAAGGAUACUGGAAAAGUAAUUAUUCUACUGUUGAAAUUGACAAUUGCAAAAGU